GUUAGCGGCAGGCUUAACACAUGCAAGUCGAGCGACAAAGGGGCUUCGGCCCUGAGUAGAGCGGCGGACGGGUGCGUAACACGUGGAUAAUCUGCCUCGUGGCGGGGGAUAACAGUCCGAAAGGACUGCUAAUACCGCAUGUCAGGUCGGAAACCCCGGUUUCUGACGAAAAAGAGGGCGCCCGCAAGGGGCUCUCACCACGAGAUGAGUCCGCGGCCCAUCAGCUAGUUGGCGGUGUAAUAGACCACCAAGGCUAAGACGGGUAGCUGGUCUGAGAGGAUGACCAGCCACACUGGGACUGAGACACGGCCCAGACUCCUACGGGAGGCAGCAGUGGGGAAUAUUGGACAAUGGGCGAAAGCCUGAUCCAGCCAUGCCGCGUGAGUGAUGAAGGUCUUCGGAUCGUAAAGCUCUGUGGGAAGGGACGAAAAGCCUAACCUAAUACGUUAGGUCUUGACGGUACCUUCUUAGCAAGCACCGGCUAACUCCGUGCCAGCAGCCGCGGUAAUACGGA
rnacentral:rRNA from 1 species